rnacentral:lncRNA from 1 species
GGUGUGAACUUGGACUUGUCUUUAAUUUGGAACAAAUGGAGCCCAUGGGAAAUUCACAUGGGUAACUCCAAAGAGCUGAUGGGUAGCUGUUUUUAAAGAGUCAACAUUGAUCAUUACUUCCUUUCCCUGGGGCCAGGUCCUCUCUGCUCCACCACCUCCUUGAAGAGUUGAGCAUCGUAAAGAAGAAAUACCUUUGAUAAAGCUGCCUGGGAGGGAGCAAGCAUGGUAUGUCCUGGGAACUUGCAGUGGUUUGGCAAGAUCUGAAGGCAGGGUACUGGGGGAGAGGCAGCUGAGCAGUGGGUGAGGCGAGAUCCUUCCACUCCCAGCAAAGGCAGUGUGAGAUUCGCUGACUAAAGUCUAGCAACUGAAGUGAGGCACGGGUCAACUUCCAUUGGAGAGGUGGCCACCA